ACAUCUGUGUUGAUUCUAAGUUUUGGGCAUUGUGAAUAAAGCUGCUAUAAACAUCUUUGUGCAGCUUUUAGUAUAGACAUAAGUUUUCAAGUCUUUUAAGUAAAUACUAAGGAGCAUGAUUGCAGGCUCAUAUGGUAAGAGUAUGUUUAGUUUUAUAAGAAACUGCCAAACUGCCUUCCAAAG